UACGUAGGGGGCGAGCGUUGUCCGGAAUGAUUGGGCGUAAAGGGCGUGUAGGCGGUUGAGUAAGUCUGGAGUGAAAGUCCUGUUUUCAAGAUGGGAAUUGCUUUGGAUACUGCUUGACUUGAGUGCAGGAGAGGUUAUCGGAAUUCCCGGUGUAGCGGUGAAAUGCGUAGAGAUCGGGAGGAACACCAGUGGCGAAGGCGGGUAACUGGACUGCAACUGACGCUGAGGCGCGAAAGUGUGGGGAGCAAACAGG
rnacentral:rRNA from 1 species